rnacentral:rRNA from 1 species
GCAAUGUGGUGUUUAGGUCGUUCCGCAGACGCACUGCUCCACCCUAAGUCCAAUAAUGAGUACGGUGGUACGGACAUGGCCCAUUGAGGGUGAAAGGCCCGUGGGGGUGGAGAUCAGGCUAGACAGUGCUACUCUGGGAGGACCUUGGAGUCGGGUUGUUUGUGAAUGCAGCCCAAAGAGGGUGGUAAACUCCAUCCAAGGCUAAAUACAAGCACGAGUCCGAUAGAGAACAAGUACCGUGAGGGAAAGUUGAAAAGUACUCUGAAGAGAGAGUAAACAGUGCGUGAAGCCGCUCAGAGGUAAACGGGUGGAGUUGAACUGUGAGUUCCGAGGGUUCAGCUGGUGAUUUUGAUUGGGCUUGGCUAAAUUGGUCGGGCUCUGGGGUCUGUUUAGCUACAGGUCUCUGCCUUCGGGUGGGGAUGCGCGAUGCACUCGUUGAGUGUUGUGCGCCUCAGUGUUCCGGGCCUGAUCGCCAGUGCACUCCCUCGGGACGGUCACCACGACCGGCACUGCCGUCUGUCUGUUGCGGUUAAACCGGCUGUACAUCGUCCUUGUGGCUUUGUGCGGUCGGGAUGGCAGGUAGCUCGUUGGUUUGUUCGCAGACUUUCGGGUGUAAUCAGCUGACUGCAAUUUGGCUGUGCGGUGUGUCGGGGACGGCGGCUUGAGGUGUGUGCGUGCGUGCUAGUCUUGCUGGCGUGUCCGUGUUUGGUUGCUCAGUUGCUCACAUAGUGGGCCAAGCGGCGACUGGGACGCGUGCGGUGGGCGGUUGCGUGCGUGGCACUAUUCUUGGGCCAAUAGUCUGUGGUGUUGCGGUAGACUAUCCACCCGACCCGUCUUGAAACACGGACCAAGGAGAGUAACAUGUGCGCGAGUCAUUGGGCGUAACGAAACCCAAAGGCGCAGUGAAAGUAAAGGCUUGGCUUGUCCAGGCUAAGGUGAGAUCCUGUCGUUUCUUACGCGUGGUACCACCAAGCAUCGAGCGGCAGGCGCAUCACCGGCCCGUCCCAUGGCAUUGGCAGUCGAAUAAACAGUACAGUCGGGGCGGAGCAAGAGCGUACAUGUUGAGACCCGAAAGAUGGUGAACUAUGCUUGUGCAGAUUGAAGCCAGAGGAAACUCUGGUGGAGGAUCGCAGCGAUUCUGACGUGCAAAUCGAUCGUCAGACAUGAGUAUAGG